GGGGCAGCGAUGGAAGAUUUUCGUUCCCUCUUGGAGAUGCUUUGGUGGCCGUUUAUUUUCGUUUGGGGAGGCGAGCUGCGAAUCCAGCUCCUUUCGGUUUAUGAAAUUGUCUGUUCGUUGUGAUAUUUUUCACAGAUUCUACAACCUUCGUCUCACGCAUCUUCUAUCUCUCUUGGCUGUGAAUUCUUGCAUCCUUUGUCUUCGGGUGGGGUUUUGCUGUUUUAGAUAGAGCUGUUUGGUGGUUGUUUUUGGUUCUGUUAAGCAAGAGGUGGUGUUUUGCUGUUUUAGAUAGAGCUGUUUCGUGGUUGUUUUUGGUUCUGUUAAGCAAGAGGUACAUUUCUAUGUUGAAAUUCCAAUUUAUUGUUUCGGUUCUGUGAAUAAAGCAUGGUAA